ACAGGGAGGGGCAGAGGGCCUGGGUGCGCAGGCGCAGGCUCGGCCCCGCUCUGCGGGCUGUGAGGCGAGGCGCGGAGUCCAGCCCAGAGCCGCGCGGCCGCUGGACAUGCCUGACGCGCUUUGCUGAGGAGCGGCCAGCGGCGCGAUGGAGCGGGCCAGGGACCGCUUACACCUGAGACGGACUACAGAACAGCACGUACCAGAGGUGGAAGUCCAGGUCAAACGUAGGAGGACAGCCUCUCUGAGCAAUCAAGAGUGUCAGCUGUACCCAAGGCGAUCUCAACAGCAACAAGUACCUGUGGUGGAUUUCCAAGCAGAACUGAGACAGGCAUUCUUAGCUGAGACACCAAGAGGUGGUUAAAGCAUUGUUGGAACAUCAAGGUAGCUGAUUCCAAGUGAAAAGUCAGCCUUCCUUUAGGUUUUAAAGAUCCUGAAGCUUUACUGUGGACAUUGGAUUGGUGGAACAGCAAUCAUGACUGUGGGAAAGAGUAGCAAGAUGCUUCAGCAUAUUGACUAUAGAAUGAGAUGUAUCCUGCAGGAUGGCCGAAUCUUCAUUGGCACUUUCAAGGCUUUUGACAAGCAUAUGAACUUGAUCCUCUGUGAUUGUGAUGAGUUCAGAAAGAUCAACCCCUUACCAUCUUAAUAUGGACACUGAGGUUUCAAUUUUGCCCAUGUCAUUUGUAUCUGCAUUUCUCAAAGAAGAAAUUAGUUUUGCUAUAGAAUAAGAUCUACAGAACAUUCUGGAAGACUGACGUUUAAUAGGAAAGCGCAUUGCCAUUCAUUCAUCUUCACAAAUCAAGCCAAAGAAUGCAAAACAGCCGGAGCGUGAAGAAAAGCGGGUUUUGGGUUUGGUGUUGUUACGUGGGGAAAAUUUGGUUUCCAUGACUGUGGAAGGACCACCUCCCAAAGAU